UACGUAGGGUGCGAGCGUUGUCCGGAAUUAUUGGGCGUAAAGAGCUUGUAGGCGGUUUGUCGCGUCUGCUGUGAAAAUCCGAGGCUCAACCUCGGACUUGCAGUGGGUACGGGCAGACUAGAGUGUGGUAGGGGAGACUGGAAUUCCUGGUGUAGCGGUGGAAUGCGCAGAUAUCAGGAGGAACACCAAUGGCGAAGGCAGAUCUCUGGGCCGUAACUGACGCUGGAUGCACGAAAGCUAGGGGAGCAAACAGG
rnacentral:rRNA from 1 species